CCAGAAUUGAUUAGUUCAUGUGUACUGAUUCGACCACAUGCUCACUUCGUAUAUAGUAUCAGGCCUAAAAAAUACCUGUGGUUCCGGUUCAUGACCAACGCUAUUUUUUUCUGCCGACCCUAUUAUUUUUUCAACGCGAUUGACUGUGCGACCCUAUUUUCUCUGGGUGGUUGCGGGCUGCUCAUACAGUGUGCCAAAAUGGCAUUUUACUUUUCACACUAAUUAUUGAACCAAAUUGCCUAAAUUUGUCCAUAGGAAAUACACAUCUCUAGUUAAUAUUGAUGUCGGAACUCACUGCAAAUCGCCCAGCAAAAACCCACCAAACCCAUGAAAAUUGUGUUUCCGACCUACCGACCCUAAUUUUUUUACGAUAUGAAACUGGAACCACAGGUAUUUUUUUAAGCCUUACUAGCAAUUACUUUCUGGAUAAUCAAUAAUUUUCUGCUGCUGUAAUAUCAACCUUAUAUUUUUUAUUAGGGGUUGUUUUCAUGAAUUCAUGUUCCCACCACCACUAAAAUCACCACCUCACAGAAUGGCAAUAUAAUCACGAUAGACCAGUAAAUCUACUUCAUCGCCUAUAUGGGGAACAUUAUUUUCUGGCGAGAACAUGGCCGUUGAAUACCAAAGUAAGGAAGGAAAAGAGUUACAGAGUUGUGGUAUGCAACUUGAAUGUUUAGUACUAAAGUUGACAUUUAUGACAUUAUGUGAUUUAUGUAUCAGACAAAUGUCUUGUCAAGUCAAAUAUUUAUUUGCAGCCCCGCUGUAUAUAUGUGAGUAAAUAGGUUGGCUGGGGUGCCUUGGUGUUGGUAACAGACAAACAGUGAGGGAGUCUACCCCUUUUCAUCUUCCCAGACCUGAGAGAUAGAUUGUUGAAGAGGAUGCCAUUCCUACCUAGAACAUACCACACCGAAGUACUACUCAUACACAGACAGGACAGUUGCUGUGUUGGUGUCACCCAGGAUUCGAAACUGCAACCUUGUGUUUACAAGCCCAACGCUCCACAACUGAGCUAACUGGGUGAAUCAGACACAAGGCAGCAGGUUUGAUGUAUUUAUAUACUGUACUAUAUGCAGUUAUAUAUUAUAUUUAUAAUCAUUCUCAAUAGAACAGAAUGUAAAAGGGUUUUUGUAGAUGGUAAUUUUGAACAAAAACUGUUUACUUACAUAAUAUACUAUAGUUACACCGAGCUGGGAGUAAUUGCAAAAAAUGUAACUCCGGUAGGAAUCAAACUUGCAAAUCUGCUGCAGUGCUUGGACCAAUGAGCAACAUAAUACAGUUGCCAACAACUACAGUGCCGGUACAUGAAACUUCAUGUAUAUGCUAAGCCGCUAAGGUGGUGUCAGUAUAUUAUGGUAUAUGUCUGAGUACAGUAAAUAUCUUUACUCUGUGUUUGGCUUCUGCUGGCAGCACCCUAAUAUUUAAUAUACAUAAACUUAAUUGUGGUAAAAUGUGUAAACUAUAUCGUUUUCAUUCAAAAUUUCCAUCCACAAGAACUAUUUAAUAAUAAUAAUAGCAUACUUAUGUUAGUACUAAGGCAGUAACGGUAUUAUAUUAAAGUUUUUUGCGAGGUAAAAUUAAAAUUCGAGUUAAUAAAAUAGGUACAGAACGACUCUUUUUGCGGUAAAUUUUACUCCUGAAUAAUGUUAAAAAAACAAAUAUAAUUUACUUCAAAAAAGGGACUCCAGUUUUUUGUUUUACUUCGCUAAACAAAACACAAAAUAACUCCUUUAAAUUAACAGUAUAAGAUUCUUACCUCAAUUCAUGUUUACUCCAAAGAACAAACAAACAAACAAACACAAGAAAUCUUCUCAUAAAAAAAGAAGGAAGUCAAAGACAAAAUACUAAAAACUUGCAUAAAAAAGCAUGUAUAAUGAUGUAUUUUCGUUGACUCGCCCCAUUCUUUCGCUCGGAAACUACAUUGCUUUACUGUAAAUAGGGUGUGGCAUAAAUGCCAUCAAAUGCUACAGUUCAAAAAGCUGGAAAAAAAUCCCCUAAUCUCGUACAUUUGUAACACUGAAUUUCCAGCUAUUAUUAUUGAAUUUCCAACUGUUAUUAUUCAAUAUUAUUAUCAUGUACCUAACUAGAAAAACAUCAAAAACUCGUACAAAUCGAAUGUCGUUUAUUGUGUCAAAACGAGGAGUCUUUAGGUCCAUUGUUCCCUUGUAUUCUUUACGUGACAUUAGUUCUUCAAUUAAUCUUCUAAAAAAAUCCUUAUGAACUUUUAAUUCAGGA
rnacentral:lncRNA from 1 species